AAGAUUUUAAUAGUCGAACAGACUAAAAAUAUUAAAUUUCUUCAUUUAAUUUAAUCUUAAUUCAACAUCGAGGUCAUAAUCUUUUUUAUCAAUAAGAACUUUCAAAAAAUAUUACG
rnacentral:rRNA from 1 species